UGUCAGGAUUGUGAGCUCAAACUGACUGUACAACUCUAUAUAUUUCAGUUUCUACAGGUUUUCUACAGGUGGUGGGCCGUCAGGGCCAGCAAGGCCUUCUCUGCUGGCCUAAACAUCAUCAAGAUAUAUAUCUUUUUUUCCUGUCCAGUGGACUGUAAAGAGUCAGAUGUGCCAGCGUCAUGACGUGAUGUGGCAUGACUCGUCCCCGUCGCUCCCUGAGAGAUCAGCUGAGAUGCACAAAACCAUCACGAGCUGCUUUUGCACCAAUUGAUUACAUUAAGUCUUUGUUCUCCUUAAUCCUCCUCAUAUUUAUUUUUUCUUUUAGGCGUAUGUGUUAUUUUAAAUACAAUCAUAUUGAUUGUCUCUUUAUCUUGGCUUGUUUCUCAGAGCUUUUCUGUAUUAUUAUCACAAUUGUCAGGAUUGUGAGUUCAAACUGACUGUACAACUCUAUAUAUAUUUCAGUUUCUACAGGUUUUCCACAGGUGGUGGGCCGCCAGGGCCAGCAAGGCCUUCUCUGCUGGCCUAAACACCUUCCGUAGUGAGUCUUCCUUUAUGACUGAAGAGUAUUCCGCUUCUUCAGGAUAAGUCCGCUAUUUAAAAUCCCUCUUGGGUCAGGUUGCCAGCAAUGUUCCCUCUGAUUUUUCACGUGUCUGGGCACACACACAUGCACCCUGAGCACACGGAGGACCACUGUGAGCAACAUCAGAUGUGCGCGCUGUGACCACACACGUGACGCCUGUUCAAAACCUUGGAUCAUCAAGUUACAUGGUUUAUUAAAAGAAUCAAAUCACAGCAGCAAUUUUCAUUAGUUUACUUUUAAUAUAAGCGAUUUGGUCCACUUAAAAUGAAAAAGACAAAAAUCUUGU
ensembl:lncRNA